GUGGCUCACAGGAAGCCAGGACCCACUCAGAGGUUCUAGCAACAUCCCUUUCCCCAUUCCCAAUGAAGAAGAGAAGAUCCAUGGUUUUCUCUCUCUCCGUGGAAAUAAUGAGACUAACCCCAGACCAGUGUCCAGGUACUCAUUUGCUGUCCUUCAAUAAGGCCUGCAUAGAUUUAAAACUCCACAUGGACAGAGGCAAGAUCUGUCUUGCUCAGUUCCUAGCUGCUGAUCAUUAAGUAUUUACUAAAUGAAUGAACGGCUCUAUGGAAGACUGGGAACAACUCAUAAUAUGGGCUUAAGGCUCCAGUUCAAACUGAUGAAGAAAGAAGGCAGCAACCUCAGGGACUGGAAUGAGAGGGCAAGUCUACACAGCAGCUCUGCUGAGUUCUGGGUGU
rnacentral:lncRNA from 1 species